GAUGAACGCUGGCGGCGUGCCUAAUACAUGCAAGUCGAGCGAACAGACGAGGAGCUUGCCCCUCUGACGUUAACGGCGGACGGGUGAGUAACACGUGGAUAACCUACCUAUAAGACUGGGAUAACUUCGGGAAACCGGAGCUAAUACCGGAUAAUAUAUUGAACCGCAUGGUUCAAUAGUGAAAGACGGUCUUGCUGUCACUUAUAGCUGGGUCCGCGCCGCAUUAGCUAGUUGGUAAGGUAACGGCUUACCAAGGCAACGAUGCGUAGCCGACCUGAGAGGGUGCUCGGCCACACUAGAACUGAGACACGGUCCAGACGCCUACGGGAGGCAGCAGUAGGGAAUCUUCCGAAAUGGGCGAAAGCCUGACGGAGCAACGCCGCGCGAGUGAUGAAGGUCUUCGGAUCGUAAAACUUUGUUAUUAGGGAAGAACACAUGUGUCAGUAACUAUGCACCUCUUGACGGUACCUAAUCAGAAAGCCACGGCUAAAUACGUG
rnacentral:rRNA from 1 species